rfam:Otolemur garnettii contig067019, whole genome shotgun sequence.
AUGCUCCUUCCGGCAGCACAGACACUAAAAUUGGAACGAUACAGAGAUCGGCAUGGCCCAGGUGCAAGAAUGACAUGCAAAUUCGUGAAGCAUUCCAUAUUUUU